rnacentral:rRNA from 1 species
GAUGAACGCUGGCGGCGUGCCCAAUACAUGCAAGUCGAGCGAACGGGCGAGAAGCUUGCUUCUCUGAUGUUAGCGGCGGACGGGUGAGUAACACGUGGAUAACCUACCUAUAAGACUGGGAUAACUUCGGGAAACCGUAGCUAAUACCGGAUAAUAUUUUGAACCGCAUGGUUCAAUAGUGAAAGACGGUCUUGCUGUCACUUAUAGAUGGAUCCGCGCUGCAUUAGCUAGUUGGUAAGGUAACGGCUUACCAAGGCAACGAUGCAUAGCCGACCUGAGAGGGUGAUCGGCCACACUGGAACUGAGACACGGUCCAGACUCCUACGGGAGGCAGCAGUAGGGAAUCUUCCGCAAUGGGCGAAAGCCUGACGGAGCAACGCCGCGUGAGUGAUGAAGGUCUUCGGAUCGUAAAACUCUGUUAUUAGGGAAGAACAUAUGUGUAAGUAACUGUGCACAUCUUGACGGUACCUAAUCAGAAAGCCACGGCUAACUACGUG